rnacentral:tRNA from 2 species
UAUUAGAAAGCGAAAUUUAUCGCAUUUAGUUUCGACCUAAACUUUGGCCCCUUAGCCUCUAAUAA